rnacentral:rRNA from 1 species
GACGAACGCUGGCGGCGUGCUUAACACAUGCAAGUCGAACGGAAAGGCCCUGCUUUUGUGGGGUGCUCGAGUGGCGAACGGGUGAGUAACACGUGAGUAACCUGCCCUUGACUUUGGGACAACUUCAGGAAACUGGGGCUAAUACCGGAUAGGAGCUCCUGCUGCAUGGUGGGGGUUGGAAAGUUUCGGCGGUUGGGGAUGGACUCGCGGCUUAUCAGCUUGUUGGUGGGGUAGUGGCUUACCAAGGCUUUGACAGGUAGCCGGCCUGAGAGGGUGACCGGCCACAUUGGGACUGAGAUACGGCCCAGACUCCUACGGGAGGCAGCAGUGGGGAAUAUUGCACAAUGGGCGGAAGCCUGAUGCAGCAACGCCGCGUGCGGGAUGACGGCCUUCGGGUUGUAAACCGCUUUCGCCUGUGACGAAGCGUGAGUGACGGUAAUGGGUAAAGAAGCACCGGCUAACUACGUG